rnacentral:rRNA from 1 species
GACGAACGCUGGCGGCGUGCUUAACACAUGCAAGUCGAACGGAAAGGCCCUGCUUUUGUGUGGUUCUCGAGGGGCGAACGGGUGAGUAACACGGGAGUAACCUGCCCUGGACUUGGGGAUAACUGCAGGAAACUGGGGCUAAUACAGGAGAGGAGCUCCUGCUGCAUGGUGGGGGUUGGAAAGUUUCGGCGGUGGUGGAUCGACUCGCGGCUUAUGAGCUGGUUGGGGGGGUAGUUGCUUACCAAGGCUUUGACGGGUAGCCUGCAUGGGAGGGGGAACACGCACAUGGGGACUGCGAUAGGGAGCAGACUCCUAUGGGAGGCAGCAGUGGGGAACAAUGCCCAAUGGGGGGAAGCCUGAUGCAGCAACCCCGGGUGCGGGAUGCCGGCCUUCGGGUUGUAAACCGCUUUCGCCUGUGACGAAGCGUGAGUGACGUUAAUGAGUAAAGAAGCACCGGCUAACUACGUG